CAUUUUUAAUAAGGGCGUUAAAGCUUAUUUAGUUUAUGGUAAUGCAGGUAAUUUUUAGGGAAUAGUUCAAGAUUAUAAGUAAUUAUAGAGGAAUUUUAUUAAUUUAAAAGUUAAAAUGCUGGAAUUAGUAGAGGAAAAGAUAUUAUUUGUGGAUUAAUCAAGCCUAACGUUGGAUGGAACAAUGUAUUUGUGUUCGAGAAAUAAGUUUGUUAAGAUUGUCUUCUUACUCAAGUAAUAUGAAAUAAAGUAAAGUUAGGGGAAAGGAACUCGGCAAAUAUUGAUUUNNNNNNNNNNNNNNNNNNNNCGCUCUUUGAAAAGAAUCUGAUAUAUAAGGAGUACUGCCUGCCCAGUGACGUAGUUAAACGGCCGCGGUAUUUUGACCGUGCAAAGGUAGCAUAAUCAUUUGCCUUUUAAAUGGAGGCUAGUAUGAAUGGCAAGACGUAAAUUAAGCUGUCUCUCUUCUAUACUUUGAAGUUAAUAUUUUUGUGAAGAAUCAGAAAUAGGGUCGUAGGACGAGAAGACCCUAUCGAGCUUUAGUAGAUUAGAAUCAAUUAUUGUAAGUGUUUAGUUGCUAAUUGGUCAUUGAUAAUGGUUUGUUUAGUUUUACUACUAGGGACGAAAUAGUAUGAUACUGUACUUAGGUUGGGGCAAUCACGGAGAAUAGGAAUCCUCCGUUAGUAGUUUUAUUAAAAAAGUUCUUUUGAUAAAAGGUUAUGGUUAAUAAGUGAUCCACUGAAUUAAGUGAACAAAAGAAUAAGUUACCGUAGGGAUAACAGCGUAAUUUUUUUGGAGAGUUCAUAUUGAUAAAGAAGUUUGCGACCUCGAUGUUGGAUCAGGAUUUCCUGGGGGUGUAGCAGUCUCUAAGGGUUGGUCUGUUCGACCAUUAAAAUCCU
rnacentral:rRNA from 1 species